ACGGCUCAGUAACACGUGGACAACCUACCCUGAGGUCGGGGAUAAACCCGGGAAACUGGGUAUAAUACCCGAUAGAUCUAGAUCGCUGGAAUGCUUUUAGGUCUAAAGUUCCGACGCCUCAGGACGGGUCUGCGGCCUAUCAGGGUAGUAGUGGGUGUAAAGUACCUACUAGCCCACGACGGGUACGGGUUGUGAGAGCAAGAGCCCGGAGAUGGAUUCUGAGACACGAAUCCAGGCCCUACGGGGUGCAGCAGGCGCGAAACCUUUACAAUGCUGGCAACAGCGAUAAGGGGACCUCGAGUGCUACGAUACAAUCGUGGCUGUCUAGUUGCCUAAAAAGCAAUUGAUAGCAAGGGCCGGGCAAGACCGGUGCCAGCCGCCGCGGUAACACCGGCGGCUCGAGUGGUAACCGCUAUUAUUGGGUCUAAAGGGUCUGUAGCCGGCUUAGUUAGUCUCUUGAGAAAUCUGGCCGCUCAACGGUCAGGCGUUCAGGGGAUACUGCUAAAGCUCGAGACCGGGAGAGGUGAGAGGUACUUCAGGGGUAGGGGUGAAAUCUUGUAAUCCUUGAAGGACCACCAGUGGCGAAGGCGUCUCACCAGAACGGAUCUGACGGCAAGGGACGAAAGCUAGGGGCACGAACCGGAUUAGAUACCCGGGUAGUCCUAGCCGUAAACGAUACUCGCUAGGUGUCGGCCACGGUGCGACCGUGGUCGGUGCCGUAGGGAAGCCGUGAAGCGAGCCACCUGGGAAGUACGGCCGCAAGGCUGAAACUUAAAGGAAUUGGCGGGGGAGCAC
rnacentral:rRNA from 1 species